rnacentral:rRNA from 1 species
CCUACGGGAGGCUGCAGUGGGGGAUAUUGCACAAUGGGGGGAACCCUGAUGCAGCGACGCCGCGUGGGUGAAGGAGCGUUUCGGCGCGUAAAGCCCUAUCGGCAGGGAAGAAGGAGGACGGUACCUGAAUAAGAAGCCCCGGCUAACUACGUGCCAGCAGCCGCGGUAAUACGUAGGGGGCAAGCGUUAGCCGGAUUUACUGGGUGUAAAGGGGGCGCAGACGGCAGCGCAAGCCAGGAGUGAAAGCCCGGGGCCCAACCCUGGGACUGCUCUUGGAACUGCGCGGCUGGAGUGCAGGAGGGGCAGGAGGAAUGCCUGGUGUAGCGGUGAAAUGCGUAGAUAGCAGGAGGAACACCGGUGGCGAAGGCGGCCUGCUGGACUGCGACUGACGUUGAGGCCCGAAAGCGUGGGGAGCAAACAGGAUUAGAUACCCUUGUAGUC